ACAUAUAAUAUCGCCAAUUUAAUAGCGUUUUUUUGUAAAACGCUAUUAAAAAUUACACCCAGCGACUUAUAACAUCGUUUUAGGGUCGGGCGCUAUUAUAGAUAUAGCUUAUAAUAGCACUUUUUAAACAAACGCUAUUAUAGGGUGCUAACUGGAAAAUAACGGAGGCAUUUAAUAGCACUUUGUGGAUAAACGCUAUUAAAGAGGUGGUCCUUUGUUAGCGCUUUUUGUUAAGCGUUAUUAUAGGAUUCUUUAUUAAAUAAAAAAUAAAUAUGUAACAAAAAAAAUCACGCAAAAUUCACAAAUCCAUCACGCGUUUCAUCAAAGUCAAGUCACAUUCUUCUCUCUAUCGAACUCAUCUUUCUUCUUCUCUCCCUCAGCAGUUCGAUCACUUAAACCCUAGAAACCUUUGUCCUCUCCGUCGAACUCAUAAACUGUCUUUUCUCAGUUAAACUCACCUGAACCCUAGAAACCUCCUUCUCUCCAUCGUUUCCCUCCUUGAACCCUAAAAGAAAAAUCAAUUGAACCCAGAACUCAUAAAUUCUAAAAAUAGCAACACAGUACUCGAAUUUUCAUCCACUCUGUUUCUAUUAUCAACGGCUACGCCUCCCUUCUCCCUCGCUGCGAACAAUUAUAUGAAACAGAUUUCUUUCAAUUUUUUAGCUCUGACUACUGCAGGUUGCCUCUUCUUCCUUCACGUUUGCUUGCUUUGUGGUAUGUUACUACAAUUGAUUUAGGGUUUUAGGUGUUUGGUUUGUGUUUGUGGUUUGUUAGUACAAUUAAUUUAGGGUUUAAAGCAAUUGUUUUGUAUUUGUGGUUUGUUACUUGGUUAUUUUUGAUAUUUGGAUUAGUGGACCUAUUAUGCCUAUCCCAAUUUGUAUGUACUGAACUUUAUAUUAACAAAGAAUAUAUUUCAUAUAUAUUAGAAUAAGAACUCUAGAAAAAGAUACUUUGAAAUCAAAUUGAAUGGAGGAUAAGACUAUGUCUACCAUGUUUGAUUUCUUAUCAUGCUUUACAAGUUGUGAAUAUGCCUAAACCUUGAUGUGUGGUCGCGAAACAGUCCAGCACAAGCAGCCGAGACAUUCGUUACAGAUCCAUCUGUAUUUUCCUUCAUCCAUCCUAAGAUUGGAGACCGCCAAAACACCAAUUUAUUCGAUGAUGCAGCUGCUGGCCUGGGCGCAAGCUGGAACUUCUGCAGAAUCGCAUUUCCUGCUGCGUUUGACAGCCCGGGAGCCAAUGUCGCGCUCAGAUUGCUUGCCGUUAGAAUUUUCGAUUGUGCAGCGUACAUAGUUAUCUUUGUGUUGCUGAAGCGAAUGUCAUUUCUUGCCAACCAAAUGGAAUGGAAAACAUGAAGAACUGCGGCUGUAGCAAUGUUGGUAACGAAAACACUCCAAUUUUCGUCCAAACUUUCAAAUAUCGAAUGAAAACUACUGCAAUUAAACUAGAUCUGCAAAAUCGAUCCCAGCAAAUUCCAUAAAUUUUCGCGAAGUUGCACGUGAGAAACAAAUGAGGCAUUGUUUCUGAUUGAGAUAGGCAGAGGUCACAGGCAGAGACCACAACACAUCCCCGCUUCAUAAUAUUUUCAUUCGUAGGCAUUUGAUUUUGAAAGCAGCACCAAACUACAAAAGAUGAUGAAGGUGGUACAAAGUUAUGCCAAAUCCAACCCGUCCAAUCAAGAUUUUCAUCCGUAGGCAUUCGAUUUUGAAAACAGUUGUGUUGACAUCGCUUAUCAAUAAAUUCUGUAACAUAAAUUCUAGAACAAAUCAAUGAAGAAGCUUAUAUCACAAAGGUUCAGCUGUUGUUAAUACAGACUAUAAUCAAUGCAUUCAAGGAGAAAGUUUCACAAAUUGAUGUCUUGAAGGAGCAAUUUGAAUUUCUAAUGCAAAUGCAAAAUGCUAGGGAUGAUGCAUUCAUAUGGGCAAGAAAAAGAACCGGUACACCUGUUAUUUAGACAAGAACAUAGAGGUCCUAUAUAUGAUGAAUUUGAGUGCUGCAAAGUCCGUACCAUAUAGUUCAAUCAAUUUUUCCUUUUAUCUUUUUCUUUGUGUUGUUAACUGCUUAAUUUUUGCAGGUGUUGUUGUGAUUGGUGGCAUGCUAGUUAACUUGUGUCAUUAUACAAGUGUUUGUAAUAUGAUUAAUUUAUAUUGUUUGAGAUUUUUAACCAAAAUUUUGUAUGGUAAUGUCUUAUGUAGUGUUUUGAUUUUAUGAUUAAUGAAAUCUGUGUAGCUCUUUUAAGUUUA